rnacentral:rRNA from 1 species
UUGACCUCGGAUCAGGUGAGGAUACCCGCUGAAUUUAAGCAUAUUAAUAAGCGGAGGAAAAGAAACCAACAGGGAUUGCCUUAAUAGCGGCGAGUGAAGCGGCAACAGCUCACAUU